UUGGACAGUACUCGCAUGUAUGUGCACAUGCACGCAUCUGUGUAUGCAUGCACUAGCAGUAUGACCCGGCGUUGCCAGGUCAUAGUGCUAGUUAAAUAUAAAACUGAUCAAGACGGUUUCUAUGGAUAGCAGUAAUGGUAUUCAUUUUGAUCUGAAUUUAAAAGUAGGCUUAGCACUGUAAAACAAGAGUGUAGUAAGACAACAGAGUAAUGCUGGUUAGUAAAAGUUAGGAAAUUAAAAUCAAUUAAGAACAAGAUGUAAAAUUGAAGGUUAAAAAAGAGA